rnacentral:misc_RNA from 1 species
CGCUAAAAAUAAUGACUACAUUGUUUACAAAUCAACACUCGUUUUUGUAAAUGCCUACUUAAUUGUCGUAUAAACUACGUCAAACGUACGAUAUCAGUUGAAAAUGAAAUGACAUACACAUCCAUAAAUUACCAACAAGUUAUCAGUUUAAUUAACUAGAACCGUAGAUUGAUUGCGUACACCUGUUUACACAGGGUAUCAGUUGCCGUGAACAUGUGCGACAGAUUUCCUUUUAAAACCAGCCUUGAGUCUGAAGCACGGUCAUUCCAUCCCUGAGAACUUGUCUCAUUAGUUUUUAUGUCCAUGUUCGGUGGGAUAGUUUCAAUUUAAACAUCUAGAAACUUACGAAAUGGAGGCAUCCAUCGGCGGAUUAAUAAGCUUCCUGGAUCGCUUAGAGUUUCCAGAAAAGGAAAUCACAGAUAUUUUUGUCAACACGGUCAAAUCGACUCCAGCUGCCGAUAUUUCCCGUGUAUUCUUUCACGAUGAUGAAGUGUAUUCCGGCAUUCAUAGUCGAAUAUGGUUUGAUGAAAAUUACGCCGAUACUGUCGUCGACAUCGCUAUUCCUCUCAUGGUCUGGAACGUUGGACAGGUAGCAGACUUUAAAGAGGUGAUAGACACAAAGAAAGCUGAAGAGGCGUGGACGUUUGUAAUUACUAGCUCGAGAGGAGCAGAGUUGUCAAGGGACAUAUUCUACCAUUGGUUAUUAAAACACACAAGAACUAGCUCCAUAUCUGACCGACAAAGACCAAUUAGCCACUGACCUAGCUAAUUAUCUGUGUCAUUUGAUUGAAGACAAGUCUUCUUGUGAUACCCCUCUCUUUCUAAAAUUCACUGUUCUUAAUAUGUUAAAUACUAACAUAUACCACAGCACCUUUAAGAAAAUACAACAAUGUAUGCAUGGUGAGAAUGAACAUACUUUAUCCAUGGUUACUGAAUAUGUUGAAAAGAUUAACUUUCUACUGCCUGCCUUGAAUAUCUUGCGAAGUGGUUUCCUUCUAGAAACGACCAACAACGUCUGUAUGAAGAACGCAAUGGGCCCUAGAUUUGUCGGCCAUUCCAGUGCUGUUCUAGGGUGGCUAAACCGGGCAGACGGACCUUCCAAAUACUGUCUGAGCUCUACAAGCAGAAUGCAUAUGGUGAACUACGUCCCUAAAGUCCAUACAGGGGGUUGUCUAUUGGGUAGUACUCUGAUACUGAUGGAGAUGGCAAACCAUUUACCAAUAGAAGAUCUCAGUGAAAAUGACAUCAUACUUGGAGAUUCGGGAGAACUAGGACUGGUAUCUCAUCAUAAAGUAGAGUACACCGUAAACAAAUAUACUCUUGUUUAUGGAAUAAACGAAGAAGCGCCAUUUUUCACAGCCGAUCAUCCUUUCUGGACUCAAGAUGGAUGGAGAGCUAUUGACCCGGUCACGGCUAAGGAGGAAAAUAGCUGGCUCAAAGUUGGACAACUGGCUGUAAGUGAUCGAGUUUGCAAGGUAAAAGCAUUCAACAAUGAAACCAGUAAGGUCGAAUACGAAUGGGUUGAAAUUAGCACGUUUUCAAAAGCAGUAAUAGAACCCGGGAUCAAGGUUUACGGCAUUCACCUCAGAGAGGGUCCCAGAUCGUGCCAUGCUAAUGGUUACUUGGUGCACCUGAAUUUCCCAGAAAUAACCAAUGAACGACUUGCCAAUCUACCAGACCAUUUUCGAGAGGAAUCCACGUCUGCAUUUAAACGAAUAGUCCAGCCACUGUUAAAGCAGGACGAUCUGUUUAAUUACGACGAAUACCCCACAAAUCUUACUUCGGGCAGAACGUCUGCUGUGAAACCCCUAUCUGCUCACCCAGACGGCUGCGUCCCAUUGGAAGAAGUUACUCUCAUGAAUGCAAAAAUUUGCUAUAACGAGAAUGUACCUGGUCCCAGCAAGAAAUAUCAGAAAUUGAGUAUCAUUCGUGGCCAUCUUUUUCUGAAUGAUAAUCACGUGACUACUAGUAGGCGGAUUUCCCAGGACCAGAUAACGUGGUCAACAGUACUACCUGAUGGAAAUACAGAAUAUGGCGCGCUCUGUUUUUAUCCUGAUCGACUAUCUGGAUUUGGCAAGAUAAGUUAUAAAAACAAAUUUCAGUCUUCGGAGGAAGUAUCUUUAGAGGAAAAUUCUAUAUGCUUUAGUUUCACCAACAAGCCAAUAGAAUUUACUUGUCAAGAAACAACUGUCACUUUGAAAGAAUUGCACGCUGAUGAUACCAUUAAGCAAAUAGGCCAGUCUCUACAGAAUUUUGGAACAAUUUCAUUUGGGCGAAACAUCGAUGGCAAUAACAGACAAAUGACUUUCAAACUUCAAACGCCGACAGUUACUCUUUCUUCAGAGGAAUCUAAACGACAAUAUCGUGUUUCUGAUUGACGACAAAAAUCAGCUGAAUUUCCAUGUCUAUUUUCCAGCUGAGUAUCAACCAGUCGUCGGAUACACGAGGUUAUCCGGUAUCCUGACGUGGAAUUACCAGGCAUUCGAAGGAGAAGUUGUACGUUUUGACGGAACUAAACCUGGUAAUGAAGGAGACGCCUUUUUAUUGAUGGGGAUAACAAGUCGAAGUGCAGACUAUGACAGGAAGCUGAACAGUGUGCGUGAGUACGCACUGGCAAAUGUUUCCUCACACCCACUGUUAUCGAGGUCAACUUUAGCUAUCAACAAAAAAGUCUGUACACCCCGAACUCAUCCAGUUUGCUAAUUCAGUGUCUACUGGUCAUACUAGCUUACAUGAUUUGUUAGCCAUUGUGGUUCCGGCUCCAGAAAUUGUACACACGUACAGCUUCAAUCUCCUCAAAGAGGCAAUGGUAGCAUCAACCCCACCUGAAUGGAGACAAAAAAUAUUUGGAACAUUGAAACUGCAAGCUGGAAGUUCGCAAACGACUGUUGGUGGUGAGAUUAAAGAUUUUCUGGAAAAAUGUAUUUGUAAAAGCUUUUAUUGGAUUGAUUUUGGCAUGGAACAAAAAACUUGGAAGUAACCUGUUAGACGACGAAAGCAGAAAUAAAUUACUAUACUUUUGGAAUAGCAACGACAAGGAUAGUUUAUCUAAAAUAAAAGAGUUUUCCUUGUUGACAUAUGGUUACGCUCUACAGGCAUUCACAACUCUUUCUCCGCGUCUAGAGAAGUAUGCUAACCAAUCCAGUUCCAACGACUGGGCCAAGAGUUUGUUUGAUAACCUCAUGGUGUUGCAGAAUCUUCACCCAUUGACCAUGUCCAUUUCGACGCCAUCAUCCACGUCGGUUUUACAAAAGUACAGUAUGCUCCUUGAACUACUCGAGCCAGGCAGCACUUAUGCUGUCGACCUUCAACGAAACGUGUUAAUAAGGCAGAUAUACCUGAUGAGCGAUUUCUACAAAGGAUCCGAAGAAGACAGGAAAAGCAUGUAUUCUUUUGUUUACGACUCUGUAAAGUGUUUAGUUUUACAAAUCUUGUACAAAAGUGGAUCUCUCGGUGAAAACCUGAUUUUACACUUGCAACCAUUGUUGAAUGACGGAAUAGUAGAGUUGGGCGUGAAGAUCGAAAGGCAGCCAGAGAACAUUGUCAAGCAGUUUAUGAUCGAGGCAGAGCUUGUGCUGUCACAGAUCGUUAACAUAUGGAAAGAAAUGAAUGGAAGCUUUUGGCAACGAAUUGACAAUGCUAUUCACAAAUGGAGUAUAGAAUACACAAUAAAUCAUAAAACUGGUAAACUUUUAGCCUGCCUUUGGCCAUUUGCAAUGGCAGGCUACGCCUUGUACGCAUCAGCAAAAGAAAUGAUAGGAUUGAAUGAACCCUCGCCAUCACAGAAACCAGAAGUUGUAGAACUGUUGUUAAAAUACGCGUCUCCAUCAUAUCCAGAAUUCCAGAUGUCGUGGAGUCCUUGUCCAGUAUCAGCGACGGUUUUCACAGCAUUGGUUUUGCCAAACAGUGGACGUCUGCUAAACAUGACGUUGAUGCCCUACAGCUGACUUGUGACAUCAUACAGUUGCUGACAGUGGAAGGAGAUCAGGAGUCUAUGAUGUUGAAAGUGGCUAAAGAAGCUGGUAGUUCGACUGCUGAUGAAAAAUUUGAGGGGAUAAAGAUAACUAGAUGGCAGACGCUGUUCAAUGUAACAGAGUCGAUGGCUCGAGUCAACAGCACACUUGCUCUGUCGGUUUCAUCGAUCUGGCUUGGGACGAAAAUAAUUAACUGUUUUCAGAAUGACGUCAGUUUGACUGAAGAAAUGCAGGAUAUUGUUACCGGAGUCAUUGUUGGUAUAGAAACUACUGCCAAAAUUCUCAGAAAGCCGCUUGAAUCAAUGUACCUUCCCCUGACGGGAACCUUUCUGGCAGAGUCUGGCAUUACUCUGGCAAUAGUAUCAGUGGAUAUCCACGGUUCCCAGCUGCCAACAACCCUGCAAACAGCUCAGAAAUUUCUAGAAGAUGAUUUAAAACAAUUUCUUAGCCAGAAAAAGGACCCACCCAAGUCAUGGAUAGAACAGUACAAGAAAAAACACCACAAAAAGAUGCCAGAGUUGACAGAAGAUGAACAAAUUAUAAAAUCUAUGUUACAAGCUCACGUGAGACGCAUGGGGAAAAAAAAAAGCGGUGAUGACGCCAGCAUUCCCUGUUAGUUGGUAUUCCCGCCAAAACAUUUUUGAGGUGCUGCUCUUAAAUCUUACCAUUCCUUUGAAGCAAAGCCAAGAAUUAUUUUUACUUGAUGCUAUUCGGGAUUCUUUUGCAGGCACGUCUAGGAUAGGACAUGUACUACUAUACGGCCCGUACCAGACCUAACAUAUUUGAUAACAAUUAGGGAUCAGAAAUAUAGUCUUCUCCGGGUAGACAAAAAGAGCAUUUUAAAAAUAAUACGGGCAUAUUAAGGCAUUUUUAUUGGCAGGUAACUGCCUCCCCACCCCUCGCUAGAUACUAUCCCGACAUCCGAGGUGGACGUAAAUAUUAGGGUCUACCCAGGGCGGAAAGGAGUGUAAAAUGGAUGCAGUUUACUACUAGUAUAAAACUGUUGUGAAAUUUGAUUAUUAAAAAUAUAUCAAACAAAAA